ensembl:lncRNA
CCAGACUGAAGCAUUUCGUAUACAUUGAAAAGCUAAUUUCCUUUUCUUAUGUAUUUUACUGCGUCAUUAAGGCUUUUUUAUUUACUUUGCAUAAUGGAGCGCAUUAAGAUACGGAUGUUAGUUCACUCCAUUGCUUUUUCUGUCUCUGUGUUUGUUUCAGGAAAGAAUCUCAUGGCUCCAAGUCCUCACCCUGGUCCUCUGCAGAGAAAGUCCUCAACGGACAGUAUUGAACGGAGAAAGAAAGAGAUGCCAAAGAUCCCCACCACCCCCACCAGUCCCAUGUCCCCCUCCUUCAGCUCAGCAGGGGUUCCCCUGUCCCCUUGCCUGGCCACUGGAGUAACCAUCAGGGACAAGUGCAUCGAGAUGCUGGUUGCUGCUCUACGCACGAUGAUAACUUCAAAGAAUUUGAGACAAACUGUGACUCGUUGGCAGCAGAGAUUGAAGAUCAUAU